GUCAGGAUGGCCGAGUGGUCUAAGGCGCCAGACUCAAGUUCUGGCCCUGCGUGGGUUCAAACCUCACUUCUGACA